GGAAACAUGGAAUGACUUUUCAUAGGUUUCCCAGAGACUAUGGGUUGAGGAGGAAUUGGAAGUUUGUCGGCUUAGACCUGGUGUCAUUCCAUCAGUGUUAAACUUCCCGGCUCAUCUUGGAAGAGUACGUGCCAGAAAGACCACGACCAAGCAGCCUUGAGAUCUUAGACAGCGUCUCCCUCAGACCAAAGAACUACAGACUCUUCACAACCUGCUCAAACUCUUGGUACAGGACCUCACCACACGGGUCAAGAAGGUUUCUGUCUCAUUUCUACUCUGAAGCUCACCUUCUCCUGCUCAAACUGCUGACAAAUGUUUCUGCUGCUCUAAAGUCUGGUCUCCAGAACUUCCUAAAAACUCUCAAAGUCUCUUCUGCUGCAGGUUGCUUUGUAGAACUGUUCCAGAAAACCUCACUAAACCACAUGGAGGAGCCUCAAGAUAGUCGUCCAAAUGAAACCUUACAAAAACCAAACUAGUACAACCCAAACGCUAAAGUCUCCUGCAGCCUACCAGAGAACCUCUGAGAACAGAGAAUCAGGACAGGAACUCUUACCUUCUGGACAACCAAUGCUGGUUCACUAACAAGAAUACAGAAUGUGUCUGACCAAAAACCUCUAAAGACUCACUACAGCCAAGAUAAAGACACAACUCAGCUGCACCAAAUCCACUAAUCACUGCACACAUUAGAACCAUGUACUAACUGUGGCUAAAGAACCACAUUUACCAAGACAACUAUCCAGUACAAAGCCCUAAAACACACCAAGAAACACAUUAAAGAUGAUUUUACUGCUGGAAGCUGCAAGCCAACACCUAAAGAACAAACUAAAGCAAUGGAGCCAAACCCGGUUCACUGGUGAAGAGAAGCAGAGCAAAUGUUUGUCUGCAGCUAAAUAAAGCAGGAAGACACUGAGCUGCUCAGGUGUUCCUGAUAACACCAAGCAGCCACCUGGACAGCCAAUAGGAACACAGCUUCCUGGAAGUCCAGAGGGCUGGCUUAGUGAAGGAAAUUUAGUUUAAAGUUGAAGCAGAAAGUUAACAAAGAAAGUUGAAAACCACCUUCUGAUCCCUGAAAUCUCUGAGUUUUCACACAAAGAACACCUGAACAUGUCAAACUGGUUCCAUAGUAGAACCAUCAUUGUAAAAACGUCAUAGUAUGGUGUGUUGCUCAAAAAACAUUAGGACCCGGCUGUCAGGGGACAAACAUGUAAGAAACAUGAGAACAGAGAGAAUCCAACCAGUAGGUCACAGUUUAUCAUCAUCUAAUCAUCUCCUGAAGUCCAUAUGGUGAGAGACAUCAGUAUCUGGUUGUUCAUUUACCAGAGGAUGCUUAUAAUCAUACUGAUGUGGUCUGUACUCUACAGUAUUUUAGUGACUCAAUAAAUCCCUAAGUUGUUUUUUUUAAAUGCUUUUUAGUUUUUAAUAAACAUUUAACAGCCUAUAUGUAAUCAAUAAAUGGCCUUUGCCUAUAUUAAGAAAAAUUCACUCAGAACUCUGAUAUGUUAACAGUACUAAAUAAAUCAAUAAAUACAUGCAUACACACAUAAAUAAGUUAAUACAUUAACUGUGUUAAGAUAAGAUUUAGAUUUUUAAGAAAGUUGUUUAUGUUUUUGCAGAAUCCAGUAUUGCUCACUGGUUGCUCAUUACAUUUUGUUAGUUUGAUUUCACUGUUUAAAAUGAUGCCACCUCUUUUCAGACAGAACCUGUGAUAAUAAAACAAUACAAAAUUUUUAGCUCCGUGUUAAUAAAGCACUUAAAGGUUUAAGUAUGGCUAAAUGCUUUUUUCAAAAUUAAAUAUAUCACUCCUUAGGUGGUAGUGGCCCCAAGUUCAGUAAAGUUGGAAAGAUAUUCACAGAUUGGGACUUCCAGCAUCAAUAACUCGUUAGAUAUAGGUUGUCAAAACAUAAACGGUGCCUCUUUCCCAUUGUUGCAAGGCAGACAAUGUGCUACAAGUCCAGUUUUAUCAAAAGUAGCUGUCUUUCAAGCUACAGGAAUAACAUUGGUGUCUAUGGAGUGAACAGGAUCCGUCUGCAAUUUGCAAAACCGCUGCAACAGUAAAGAGAGACAAAUAUUCAAUAACUUCACUCUUAUACAUUGUAGUGUCACUAAAAUCACUGCAGCCUUCAACUGGCUCCUGUUGACAAAGUGUUUUAACAGAAAUGUAAAUGCUGUAAUUUGAUUCUUUUAAUGAACCAUGUAACUUGAAUGGAUGUGAUGCUGGUGUGACCACAGUGCACACGUCUGAUGUUGCUCACAGUGGUCCAAGGGACGCUCAGGGAGUUUGUGUGUUUGCUCAGACUCAGGAAAAAUUACAGGGAACAUUGAUGGGGAUCACAGCAAAAUAUCAAAGCAAUAAUUAAAACACACAUCUAUCUAUUUAUACUGCUCAUAGCAUUGUGUCAGCAUUACUACUGCAGACGUGGACUUCCUCAAAUGAACAAGGAAUGCCUCACCCCGCUAAGUGAAGGCUGAAAAAAGACACAGCAUGAGUAUGGAUCACAAAAACAGAAAAACACUUGUUGACUGCCAUCCUGAGAUGCUUCCCCCGCAACAACUUCACUCUAUAAACCUCUCUUUCCUUUUUUGAACUGCAGCUUUGCAAGUUAAAUAGCGCCAAAACAUAAUCAAACUCUGUGAUAAUGCACUUAUUUAACAUGUUACAGUCGUUUGGUUGGUUUUUCCACCAUGAUGAAUAUCACAUCUUGAGAUUCAGCAAUUAUAAAGCUGUUAUCUUGAUAUUUUAUCCACUUCUUGGCCAUCUUGAUGCAAAACUGAGGUUGAGGUGGAGCUGCAGGGAGGGGGUUAGCUGCUAUCAAAUGAGGGGAAAAUGUGACUCCAUACAUAUUUAUAUGUUGUGUCCUUAUCUGACUUGCAAACGCUUCCCACGCAUGCAUUCAGGAGUAGUUUUACUUCGAGCUGUGUGCUGUCACUGAGGCUAAGCUAGCUGCUGCGGGAUGGUCAGUAAAUCCUUCCAAAUUUAGAGCUGCCUGACUCUGUUAAAAUGCAUUGUCUCUGCUUCUGUUUGGAGUUGUUUAAAGGCACCCGCACAGCUAGUAAAGGUAAUGAGUAAAACAAUGGGUCGCUCAUGAAUAAUUAGCAAAGGAACAUAUUGACUUCUUAUUACAUUCCGAGUAAUUGAUUGCAGUUUCCAGGUCGCUUGCCUUAACACACAUGCAAUCGCAUGGCACCCAUCCACACCUCCACUCCCAGCCUCCCCUUUCGCACUGUGGUUUUCUCAGCAGUGAGGAGCUCGCGUUGUGAAAUUGCCUCUUCCUCGGGGAGCUAUUCAAUCACUCCAGGCUCCAGCCCACAACAAAACGGGCCGUCCACCCGGGGAGGAAAACUAAUGUGCGAUGCUGCCUGUUUGCCAUGGAGGCCGGGGGAGAGAAAAAUCUCCCUUUCGGAGACAAUAAAUGGGCUGCUUCCCGGGUUAUGGGUGCUCCAAUGACUUGAUUAACUUCACAAGGACAAAAUGAAACUUUUUGCUGACCAAUUUAUGUGAUUGGUGGUGAGCCAAAUGACGAGUUAGAGGAGUGAUGAGUUUCAGGGCACCACUCAUCUCUUCAAACGAGACUUGUGGAUUAAAUCAAAUGGAGGACAUGCAUAGGAAUAACCGACUACCACUUUGGGAGGCCGUGUGUGCAGACAACUCGACUUAGUGUCUUCAUUAGAUGGGACUGUCUGAAAAACACAGCUGAUUGGCCCUGUGUGCUCUCGCAUAGUGGCCUUGUCAUUAAUUAUGGAUACGCUUGCUGGUGAUGCCACACCGUGUCCGACUGACCAGAGCUGAGAUAAUGACAGCUGAGGUCAAAAUAUCAAGCUCUACCUGCCCACAUUUGUAUUCCGGUCACUUACUCGGGGCCAGGCUCACAGGCAUAAAACUAAUAAAUGUAUAGAGCAGUGUAAUAUUUAUCCAGCAGUCAGUGUAUGUGUGUGUUUUCUAUCUUUCUUUCUGUUUGAGCAGGGAUUAACAUCUGUAACAUGUGAGCAUGCAUGAUCUGUUUUGAAAUUAAAUUACAGCAGCUUACUUUGGCAGGAAAUAGGAGCUGACUGACUGAAGUAAAAAUGACAGCAGAAUCUGUGACCGAAAAGCAAUCUUUACCUUGUCAGACAAAUGUAUGAAAGGAGGCAUUCAGAAGACCUCAAUUUAACCCAGACUUCUGGCAAUUUCGAAGCCGAGGCAGACCUCUACAUGUGUUACCUGAAAACUUUGCAAUCUCACGCGACCUUUCAGUUGGCCUUUGAUUAAAAGUUUUAGAAGCCUCGCAAGCUUAAGAUGCACACCUGUUUUUUUUUUUUUUAAUCUCCUUUUGCUUUAUUUGACACCGAAAAUAACCAAAGAAAUCAAUCUGCGGCUCUAAAUAAUAGUUAGCUUCAUAGACAGAUUCAGAAGUAUUCUAUUCCACUUGCAUGUUGAAUGCUGAUUAAUCUGCCUUGACCAAGAGGCGGCUCACAUAAGCGGCUGCUGUGAUCUUAAAUGAAUGAUGACUCACAGUCUGGCUUUUUUUCUCGCCUUGCCGGUUAAUGGAAAAAAGUGCAAUUAGUGCGACCCUACAUGCAUGCAAAUGGUGUCCGAGCAUUUAGCUCAUUGUGGCAAAUUGAGUAGCUUUCUAACUUGUUCCAGGACCUGACACUGAAACAAGCCCCCGGUGAGAGUUUUAAUUUUGUGGCAAAGACAAUUAAAUGAUUUUAGUACUUUUAUCUACUCAGCGCUUUGGACAAAGUUCUAUUAAUCAUUUAGCUUCAGUUCAUUUACAGUAUGUGCAUUUUGUUUCAAUUAAUCAAACCCGCUCCUCGUUUACAAUGCUCUGCAAUGUUCAGGUGGAAGUUUUGUUUUAGUUCCCAGAAUGUUUUCCUUUUAGGAAGGAAAAGUGAAGAAAAAUGUUAAAACAUAACAUUGUUACACUGUUAUGUUUUAACAUUUUUCCUGAAUUUCCCUCGGGAUUAAUAAAGUAUCUAUCUAUCUAUCUAUCUAUCUAUCUAUCUAUCAUUGUGGAAUAUUGUGGAAAUGUUUUAUAGAUUCUUUAAUGUGUUCCUCGACAGCAUCCACCAAACAUCUUCAGAACACUGUGACAAAAAACGAAAUGUUCCACCUUUUAUAUAUCACAUUGAAGGAGCUUUGCAACACAUUCUGUAUUGUGCCAUCAGAGGUCUCAAUAACACCUGGAAAACAUUUUUCAGUGUUGAUUUGAAAACCGUACUUUGUUAUCAUAGAGCAUUGUGAGAAUGUUCUAUGGAAUCUCUUUACAGAUUCUAGUUCAGGUUCCCUUAGCAACAUCCAUAAAACGUCCUCAGAUUGAUUGCAACAAGAAUGUUCCACCUUUGUUAACAAUAAAGUAACAUCUUAUAAAGCAAGUUCUAUCAUCCGAGGUCUCAAUAACAGCUUAAAAACGUUCAUUUGAAUGUUGCAUUGAGAACAUACUUACUAAAUACUGAAUGUUCCACCUUUAAUAUAUCGCUUUAUAGGAGUAUUAUAAAACAUUCUCUAAUCAGGGGCCUUGAUAACGUCAUGAUUUGAAUGUUGGUUCUAAAACAUUCUUCUUUUGCUAUCAUAGAAUCUGUAAGAAUUUUCCUUUAAUAUGUUCCCUUCCUCAGACCAUUGCAGACAAUAUGAACCAACUUUGUUAAUGUAUCACAUAACAAAAACAUUUUAUUAAAAUCAUCUGAGGCCCUGACCACAUCUGGAGAACAUUUUUUGCAUUUUGGUUUGGAAACAUUUUUUUUUUGGCAUCAUGGAACAUUGAGACAAUAUUUUAUACAACAACAUUCUGUAAUGUUUACAGUAAAUAUUCUCACACGGUUCUUUAUCAACAAAAGAAAGAGGAAGAAGGAAGAAUGUUCUCAAGCUAACAUUCAAAAAAUGUUUUCCAGAUGAUAUCGAGGCCUCGGAUGAUUUAUAUAAAACAUUCUUGAAUGUGACAUAUUAACAAAAGUGGAACAUUCUGUCUACAAUGUUCUAGAGAUGUUUUGGGGAUGUUGUUGAGGGAACAUAUUAUAGAAUGUUCUUCUGUAAAAUAUUCUAACAAUGUUGUAUGACAACCAAGGAAGAACAUUCUGAAGCCAACAUUCAAAAAAUGUUUUCUAGGUUUUAUCAAGGCCUCAGAUGAUUUUUGUAAAAUGUUCCUGUAAUGUGAUUUAUUAGCAAACAUUGUUCAUGCUGUCUGUUGUACUCUAGAGACAUUUCAAGGGUUGUUGUUGAGAACAUUCUUCCUUCUUCCUCAUAGAACAUUGAGAGUAUGUUUUAUAGAAGAAUAUUCUAUAUUGUGUCCCCUCUUCCUUAGAACAUUGCAGACACCUUUAAUAUACCACACUGAAGAACGUUUUAGAAAAAUCAUCUAAGGCCUCAACAACAUCUGGAAAACAUUAUUUGAAUGCUAUUUUGAGAACGUUCCUCAUUUGUUAUCAUAGAACGUCUGCUGUUCUUAAUGUUGAUGAUGAAACAUAUUAACUUGAACAUCUUCUUAAAACAUUUGAUUAAAACAUUUUCUUCUUCUGAGAGCUCAUAGGUAACAUUCGCCGAUGUUUUUGGAACGUUCCCUGCCAGAUGGGAACUUGCUGCUCGGUGCUAUCAGGAUGACGACAUGGAAGUCUGUUUGGUGGCGAUUAGGAAGCUUUGCCAUUUAUCCACCUCCUCAGUCCCACCCUCCUUGUCAGCGAGUCGUGACCUAAAGGUAGUAACGAGUGUUGAGUCUGGAAGUGGCUGCCUCCACAGACGGCAGGGUACCAACGCUUCCUCUGCAUCGCUGGGACUAAAGAGCAAAGUUCCCUCAAAGGCCAGUCAGCUGUCCUUUUCCUCUGGGACGGUUUGCAGUGGGAGUCUGUUAGGAAAGAGCAAAACUUCCACCAAAACCAACGACAUCAUGGUGUCUUCUGUAAACAUGGCAGCCACAAAAAGAACAAUACUGUCUGUGAAUGUAGUGUCUGUUCUCCUUCCUGUACAUUACUAGCUCCGAUGACAAUAGAGGCAGGCUUCUGUAAAAGCUCCAACAGUAACAGGAGUCUCCUUCUUCUUAGUUUAAGCCAGAAUGGUAUGUUGGACAUCAUUCUUAGCAGCAAGUAGAUCCAGAAACUCUGUCUGAACCUUUUCCAGUGAUUUUGUUGUUGAUCACAUGCUGUAAGAGGAGCUGCUGAAAAUAUUCGUUGACAUGGUUUUGUCUCUAACUGUCUUUUGUGCCAGGAAAAAUAAGAGGAAAUAAGUUAUAGAUGCUUUCCUAAAAUGGUCACUGAGAUCAAAAAAUGAGUUGAAAGUAUCACACGUUUAAUUUUUUCAAGUGUUUUUCCCAGAUCCAAAUGAUAAGCUACCAGGUAGUGGGGUUGGGUAAUACUGUUAGACCUUCUUUUUUCUUUCUUUCUUUCUUUUUUUUUUUUAAAUAAAAGCUAUCAUUUAUGUCAUUAAGGAUAAUUGCAGAUGAUUUCUAAUGACCUGUUUUUAAUAAAGAGCAGGGGGAAAGUGUUGUAAUUUGAAUUUAGCCACUUUAGUCUACACAGGCAAUAAUUUAAUUGGUAACACAGCAAUGAAACACAUAAACAAAUAAACACAUUUCCAUAUCCUAAUUAAAAUGACUAAAGAUAGAGGAGUCAUAUUACAUAUUAAAUAAAGAGCACGUUAAAAGCCA